GGGGCUGUGGGCUAGCUUGGUCUAGGCUACGGGCUUCGGGCGCCCGUGACCCAGGUUCAAAUCCUGGCAGCCCCACCA
rnacentral:tRNA from 1 species